AUUUAAGUAGUUUAUAAAAAAUAUUGAUUUGUGGAAUCAGGGAAAUAAUUAUUUAUCUUAAAUA
rnacentral:tRNA from 1 species